GGGUUCACCUCAGCAGCACAUACACUAAAACUGGAAUGAUACAGAGAAGAUUAAAUAGACCUUGCAAAGGGUAACACGAAAAUCCCUCAAGUGUUUUUUUUUUCU
rnacentral:snRNA from 1 species